AACGCACAUUGCACCUCUUGGUAAUCCUUGAGGUAUACUUGUUCGAGCGCCGUUUAAAUUCUAAGGCUUUGCCUUGUGUUGAUGUUUUUAUCGCUUAAUCGCGAUUCAUCAAAAUAAAUUGGCGUCUGUUUUUUUAGCCAGAAACGCAGUGAAAAUGCGAAGAAGGUUUAUUAACAAACAGCCUAUUUUUUUAUUCCUAUCCGACAGCUUUGCUGUCAGAAAAGAAAAAUCAAAAAACAUGGCCUCGAAUCAAGUAGGGAUACCCGCUGAACUUAA
rnacentral:misc_RNA from 1 species